ensembl:snRNA U6 U6 spliceosomal RNA
GUACUCACAUGGGCAGCACAAUAGCAAUAAUACAGAGAAGAUUAGCAUGGUAUUUGUACAUAGACAAUAUGUAAAUAUGUACAGUCAUCCACAUUUUU